rnacentral:rRNA from 1 species
CACUAGCGUAUAUUAAAAUUGCUGCCGUUAAAAGGCUCGUAGUUGAAUAUCUGCCAUUAGUAGCCUGGCCCGAUUGUUAUCAAUUGUGUCGCCAGUCGUGUUGUGGUCUUAGGGCCGCAGCUGCGUUUUGCUCUUUUGGCAUAAUUCAGGAAAGCUUCUCGAUCGUUUUAUCGGUUGGGAAGCAGCUCCUGAUCAUUUACUUUGAUAAAAUUAGAGCGAUCAAAGCAGGCUUAUGUACAUGAAUGUAUAAGCAUGGAAUAAUAAAAUAGGACUCUGGUAUGGCGCGCAGUAGGGCUUGCUUUACAGUGUGCCAGUUCUAUUUUGUUGGUUUUGGGCCGGAGUAAUGAUUGAUAGAAACAUUUGGGGUGCUAGUAUUCCAAGGCUAGAGGUGAAAUUCUAUGACCCUUGGGGGACUAACUACAGCGAAAGCAUUCACCAAGCAUGUUUUCUUUGAUCAUGGGCCACAGUUGGGGAUCGAAGACGAUCAGAUACC